rnacentral:tRNA from 1 species
UGCCCGAUGGUGUAAUGGUAGCACAGAUGCCUCUGGAGCAUCUAGUCUAGGUUCGAAUCCUAGUUGGGCAACCA